CAUGCACCGGUGGGGUCCCUCGGCCUGGCCUGUAAUCCAGGACCCCUUGGGGAUGUCGGAGAGCCAGUUUCGGCCCAAUCCUGCAGGCCAGGACGAGGGACCCCACUGGUGCAUG
rfam:Myotis lucifugus cont2.7338, whole genome shotgun sequence.